rnacentral:lncRNA from 1 species
AAGGAGAAAAAUGGGAGAAUCUGAUGAUAACAGCAGGCCCUUUGAAGAGCCACCUUGAAGGAAGUCAAAGAAGUAUAUUUCAGGCUCUAUAGGUCAGAAGUCUGCAGCGAGUCUCAUGAGGCUAAAAUCAAGGUGUCCACAGCAGUCAUUAUUCUACCCACCAGAGACACAGAAGCUUGUCCUGGCAAGAAUCCUAUCUGUAAGCUCUACAGAACUAGCAUUUCCUCAAUUUCCAUCUGCCAAGAUGCUAACAGAGAACACAUCAAGUAGGUGGAACACACAAGGGACUGACCUUGACUUAAAGCAAGUAUGGCAAUCUAAGAUCUCUGCCAUGACAUGACUAUAGUUUAUGAACCAUUUACAAUGGUAGUAAUAUCACAUUAUUCAUUGUCUGUAUACCAUGUGCCCCAGAUAUUAAAGCCAAUUGAUGCAUACUGUCUUU